GUCGAGAAUCUUUCACAAUGGGGGCAACCCUGAUGGAGCGACGCCGCGUGGAGGAUAAGGUCUUCGGAUUGUAAACUCCUGUCAUGCGUGAACAAGGUUGCUUGGUUAAUACCUGGGCAAAUUGAUGGUAACGCAAGAGGAAGAGACGGCUAACUCUGUGCCAGCAGCCGCGGUAAUACAGCGGUCUCAAGCGUUGUUCGGAAUCACUGGGCGUAAAGGGUGCGUAGGUGGCGUGGUAAGUCAGAUGUGAAAGCCCGGGGCUCAACCUCGGAACUGCAUCCGAUACUGCCAUGCUAGAGUACUGGAGAGGUGACUAGAAUUCUCGGUGUAGCAGUGAAAUGCGUAGAUAUCGAGAGGAAUACCAAAGGCGUAGGCAGGUCACUGGACAGUUACUGACACUGAGGCACGAAGGCCAGGGGAGCGAACGGGAUUAGAAACCCCUGUAGUCC
rnacentral:rRNA from 1 species